CCUACGGGGGGCUGCAGUGGGGAAUAUUGGACAAUGGGCGCAAGCCUGAUCCAGCCACGCCGCGUGAGUGAUGAAGGCCUUCGGGUCGUAAAGCUCUGUGGGGAGGGACGAACCGCUGCCGGUUAAUACCCGGCAGCAUGACGGUACCUCCUUAGCAAGCACCGGCUAACUUCGUGCCAGCAGCCGCGGUAAUACGAAGGGUGCAAACGUUGCUCGGAAUUAUUGGGCGUAAAGCGCACGUAGGCGGCUUAGCAAGUUGGAUGUGAAAGCCCUCG
rnacentral:rRNA from 1 species